rnacentral:ncRNA from 1 species
UUAUACAGUACCCGUACCGUAAACCGACACAGGUAGAUGAGGAGAGAAUCCUAAGGCCGACGGAAGAAGCAUUGUUAAGGAACUCGGCAAAAUGACCCCGUAACUUCGGGAGAAGGGGUGCCUGCGAGAGCAGGCCGCAGAGAAUAGGCUCAAGCAACUGUUUAGCAAAAACACAGGUCUAUGCGAAACCGAAAGGUGAGGUAUAUGGGCUGACGCCUGCCCGGUGCUGGAAGGUUAAGGGGAGGGCUUAGCGCAAGCGAAGGUCUGAACUUAAGCCCCAGUAAACGGCGGCCGUAACUAUAACGGUCCUAAGGUAGCGAAAUUCCUUGUCGGGUAAGUUCCGACCCGCACGAAAGGCGUAAUGAUUUGAGCGCUGUCUCGACAAUGCAUCCGGUGAAAUUGAAGUACCAGUGAAGAUGCUGGUUACCCGCGCCAGGACGGAAAGACCCCAUGGAGCUUUACUCCAGCUUGAUACUGGGAUUCGGUAUUGCAUGUACAGGAUAGGUGGGAGGCUUUGAAGGAAUGACGCCAGUUGUUCUGGAGCCGCUGUUGGGAUACCACCCUUGCAGUAUUGGGUUUCUAACCAGCCGCCGUGAUCCGGCGGUGGGACAAUGUCAGGCGGGGAGUUUGACUGGGGCGGUCGCCUC